UAAUAACAAAUUAUAAUUGUAUUCGACGGUAUAAAUAAAUAAAUGUCACAGAUUUUAUUUCUAUCAUUCGCUAUGAGAUGUCGUAGCUUUCAUUUUGAUCAAACGAAAGGAAUAUUUCUCGAUAUUUUUCUAGAGCAGAAGAAAUGUUUCCGUACAAAUGAUUGAAUCGAAAAGUAAAUAAGAUUCGCAACAACGUGUUCAAAUGAUACGUACAUUUUGGAACACCUUGUACAAUACACCUUAAGCGAAUAGCUGUAGAGAGGAAAGGGAGAAGGGGCGAAGGUCAAACCGUGGAGUCCACGGCAUGUAGAGGGAGGAGAUCACUAGAAAGCAUCUUCCCAUGAAUGAACGAAUCAAUCAACGAAACAAACGAAUGACGGCGUGACACGCUCACGGGGACAACAGUGGCAACGAUUAAUGACUAAACACCAAACAGAAUAAUAAUAAUUAAUUGAUUACAUUUUUCGAAUUAAGUAGAACUUUGCUGUACAAGAUACAUCGCUACAUCGUUAAAAAUCCAUUUCGCGUUUAUCGCGACGCUAAAAAAAUUCGAAACCGGUGAAACUAACAAACAAAAGAGACAGGUACAAAUUUAUAUAAUACAAACAACGAAAACAUUUCUAAAAAUCUCUUUCAUCGUUACGUGUCUAAUUAAACUACAAACGGUUGUUUCGCGACGAUCGUUUAAUCUUCUCGAGUUUGCCCGAGAAGAUCGGAAUUAACAAACGUCAAGCGAAAGAAUACUACCGAAAUGUAACAUUCGAAAAAUCUGACGGCUGUCAAAGUCGUGUGUUUAUUACGGUCUCGGCACUCGUCACUCGCGAAAUGCUUCACUCAUCGAAACCUAAGUUUACACUUGCUGUGCAAUCCUAACGAACGAUUACGUCGAUAGCGCAAAAUUUGACUUUAAUUCGACUUUAUGUAAGCGAUGAAAAUAAUCACCGGCGGCCUUUCCGAGUGUGAAUGGAACACCAGUCGUUCGAAUGUUAACGCUAGUUUUUCCAUUGCACGUUCCGCGAUAAACGAACGGGAUACGGGAUACGGUGAGAUUAACAAGAAAACACAGAAAACACAGGAGGAAGGAUAAAGCAAGAAGUGGCAAGAAAGAAAAGAGGAGAGGCUCGAAAAGUGUAUGAAGAUAAAGGAGGAGAAAUAGAGGAAGAGUGCGAGAAGGAGCGAGAGAAAGCACCGGAAAAGGAAAUGGAGAAGGCAUCAGAGAAGUGUAGACAUUUAGGUUAUAACAGCAACGAGGAGAAAUUCUAUUGUGUGUUGACCUCUAUUACAGACGUGAGAACACGUCCACGUGCCGAGAACGUUACAAAACUGCCGCUCGAAGGCGGCUUCUCGUUCAACGCGUUCAUUUUCCGAGAACGUUGUACAACUGUCGCUCGCAGGUGGUUUCUCGAACGCAACAUGGCCGCUUCCCCCACUCUCGUAUAUAGAAUGAGAGAAAAGAUCGCCCGGAAACGUGGCACCAUCUCUCGGCGAACCGCCCAAGCUUGUCGUGAAAUAGUUCUUACAUAGCGCCGCUAGGUGGUGCCAUAGCAUUCGGUAUUAUUAUUUAUUUAAAAAACUAGCCACUCGACAAUUAUUAGUUGAAUUAUGAUAAUUACGGUGUAAAAUUAUACGAAUAUCAAAAAAAAAAAAGUAAAA